AUGGAAGAGCAAUGGAGACUUACAGGGUUCUAUGGUGAGCCCAAAUGGGAGGACAAACACUUGUCGUGGAGUUGUUUGCGUGGUGUAUCUCAACAGAACCAACUCCCAUGGGUAGUUGUGGGCGAUUUUAACGAGAUCUUGUACUCGCAUGAGAAGGAGGGGGGAGCGCCGAGGCCAGUUAAUAUGAUGCAGAAUUUCAGAGAUGCACUGGUCGACUGUGAACUUGAGGAUAUGGGUUUUGUUGGUGAGCAGUUUACAUGGCGAAGGCGCAGAUUGAGGGAGCGUUUGGACAGAGCAGUUUGUAAUGGAGCUUUCCUUGGCUUGUUUCCUGUUGCUGUAGUCACAAAUGCACCGCAUACAAAAUCAGAUCACAGGCCGGUGGUGAUUGACUUGGAAGGUGUAGUGGGCAUGGACCAGCAGAACAACUUUAGGCCAAAACAAUUUGAAGCUCGCUGGUUACAAGAGGAGGAGAUGACGCAAAGGGUCACAGAGGCCUGGGAAAGGACAUGUAUGUCUGAGUGUUUGGCAAAUCGCACGGCGGCUGUCCAUCAGGAUCUGCAUAAGUGGGACCGGGAAGUCCUGAAAGCACCGCACUGGCGGUUAAAGCAUCUCAAGGAGGAGUUGGAACAGCUGCGAUCGGGGCCACUCACUGACGAGUCGGCAGAUAGGUAG
rnacentral:rRNA from 1 species